UACACGACUCUCGGCAACGGAUAUCUAGGCUCUCGCAUCGAUGAAGAACGUAGCAAACUGCGAUACUUGGUGUGAAUUGCAAAAUCCCGUGAACCAUCGAGUCUNNGAACGCAAGGCCGAGGGCACGUCUGCCUGGGGCGUCACGCAUCGCGUCGCCCCCCCCCAACCCCGUCCCGGAAGGGUCGAGGGCAGGCCGGGGGGGCGGAAGUUGGCUUCCCGUGCUCCGUCGCGGCCAGCCUAAAACAAGGUUCCCUCGCCGCGGACGUCGCGACAAGUGGUGGUCGUC
rnacentral:rRNA from 1 species